rnacentral:rRNA from 1 species
GAUGAACGCUAGCGGCAGGCCUAAUACAUGCAAGUCGAACGGUGUCUUCGGACAUAGUGGCGCACGGGUGCGUAACACGUAUGCAACCUACCUUACAUUGGGGGAUAGCCUUUCGAAAGGGAGAUUAAUACCGCAUAAGACAGUAACUAGGCAUCUAAUAGCUGUUAAAGAUUUAUCGAUGUAAGCUGGGCAUGCGUCCAAUUAGCUAGUUGGUGAGGUAACGGCUCACCAAGGCAAUGAUUGGUAGGAGAACUGAGAGGUCAAUCCCCCACACUGGCACUGAGAUACGGGCCAGACUCCUACGGGAGGCAGCAGUAGGGAAUAUUGGGCAAUGGACGCAAGUCUGACCCAGCCAUGCCGCGUGCAGGAUGAAGGCGUUAUGCGUUGUAAACUGCUUUUAUACAGGAAGAAACGACUCUUGCGAGAGGCAUUGACGGUACUGUAUGAAUAAGCACCGGCUAACUCCGUGCCAGCAGCCGCCGUAACAC